AUCUAUAUCUGUAUCUAUAUCUAUAGGAUCUUAAAACCCAGCAUUUGAAUGCUGAUGUGGCGUUCUAUCCUUUAUUUCUGUAUUUUUUAUUCAUUGCUUCUCAACACUUUUCUUCUGAUAUUUUCAAUUUCUUCAUAUGCGUUCUGCCCCUCUUUUCAAAUCAGUUGUUGUUGAAAAAAGGAAGGUUGGGGUGUUGUCCCAAAGGUUGCACCAUAAGGUUGCUGUUUGAAAUUGAAAAAAAGGGGUAUUAACUGGCUUAGUUAAAUUGUAAUCUGUGUUGCUGUUGGGUUUGGUGAUUGAUGGAGCUUGGUAUGAAGAAGUUUCUUCAUUCUCUCUCUCUCUCUCUCUCUCUGGGUUAAUUGUUUAUUAUUCACAAUUGUUUAUUGUUCUGAGUUUCAUGGUUGCAAUUGCAAGAAAUAGCCAUUUUAUUGAGAUCUUACAAGGCACUAGAUUUAUCUUAAUUGUGUCAUGCAUUAUAUUCAAUAAUUGUUUGCUUGCAAUAUAUUUCCUAAGUCGACUCACGAAAUAUUUGCAUAAAAGCUUUAUCAGGAAAAGGGUAGUCUUCAACUAUCUUUUUAACAAAUAAUUAUAACUUCUUGAUUUACUUUGUAGUAUUCUUCAAUUUCGUCUCAAAAUUUAAUUCACCAACCAGUUUUGCUUCUCUAUUGGAUAAGUAUUGUUAAGUAGCAAGUCUGAGGGAUACUUAGUCUUACAUCGGAUGAAAUAAGGUAUAAGAGUUUAUGGGAUGAGAUAUUCAUGUAUUUAGUGCCUUAAGAUUUUUAAGUUGGUGUGGUACAUUAUCUCACUUGGUUCCUAUACAACUAUACAAGUGACUAACUAUUUCUUUUUAUUGUAAUAUGAGUGCUAAAAUAUCACUCUUUUAUGUAUUUUUAUUUUUUUAUACAAAUAAUAAAUGUACUGUUUUGUUUCUCUCAUAUAAUCUCUGUCAUGAGAUGGAUAUAUUUUUUUAAUUUGCUUUAAUUUAAACCUUUCCCUGUGGACAUAGGAAAACAACUUGGGGACAUUGAUUAUUGGAGUAAACUCUGUUCUUCUUGCUUUUGAUCUAUACUUAUUUAGAUACGGAACAAGUAUCAUUGCACCAAAACAAGUUUCAAUACUUUUAAAUUAAACUCCAAGAAGAUUGUGCAAUUUAAUGAUUUGAGAAUGAACUGAAAAAUGAAGUUGCAAGUUUGAUCAGCAAAGGGCAUUGGAAGAGGCUCAUGGCCAAUUACUUGAAGUUGCUCACAGAUUCAAUUACUAGGUCCAGAACUCCAACGUUUCAAAUUACUGGUGAAGGUUCAUUUUGAGCUGUGGAAUUUAAGCGAAAUCCUUGCUGGCUGUCUCAAUCGCGUUCCUUAUCGCCUUCGGAGCUCACAGGAAGAAAUCCCUCAGCACUUCUGGAGCCUUCGUUGGCUUCUUCGUUAUGGCGCUUCACAUUUUUGUAGGAAGCAGGUUACAAGUUCUAGCCAAUAGUGCCAUUGCCUCAGUUUUGAUUGUAGCUAUACGGGCAUUAGCAGAAGGGCAGGAUAAGUGUUUGGACUCGAAAGACUCAACUCUGAUUACUUCUCUCAUUGGUGGUGUUAUUGGCCACUACUUUUGCUGUAACGGAGAUAUUUGGUCCUUAGAGCUUGGAAUUCUUAGUGAUGGGCAAUCUCUCCUUUAUACCUUGAAUUUUUUAUUCAACCCUUUAUUUCAAUGUUCAAUUUUCCUUCGUAAGCAUUUUGUCUUUAUUUUCAAAUUUUCAAAUCAUGGGUUAUUGAAAAAUUAUACAUUGACAUCAAUUUUUUUUUGGUGACUAUACAUUGACUUCAAUUACUAAUAAUUGUUAAAUUUUAUUUUAUUAUUAUAUCAGUGCAAAUGUUGUUGCUAACAAAAUGGCAAAUGUA